AGAGACUGGGCAAAAAAGAACCUCCUGGAAGGAAGUAUUUUAACCUUCUUAAGCUGUGAUGUUCAAUAUUAAUGUGCAUCUAUCUGAAAAAUGGAAAAUAAAGCCCUGUACUGAAGCCAGAAGAAUAAGAAAAGCCUCUGAAUCACUCUGACCAGUGUACUCAGAGCUUGCAACAGGCUAUCAAUAUUUCCAGGAACUGUAAUUCCAGGAGUUUUUGACUUAUCUUUACUGUAAAAGUGUAGGUCUGUUACAAUUUGUGUCUUUAGUCUGACUGGUCCUGGGGUGGGAGAAGAAGGUGGCAUGUAUGUCUUGAAGCACUGUUGGGAAGGACUGUGAGAAGACUGUGUUUGAUCUGUGUCAGUCAGAAUGGUGCUCUAUGGUAACUGAUUUUUGUGCUACAGUGUUUGCAUGUGGAUGUCACCAAAGGAACACCUGUGAAGUGGAUAGCCCUGCCAGAACCUAGGAAAGGCAGGGUUUGUAGGCCUUUAGGUAUUUGCAAGCUCUUCCACCAAAAAUGCUUAGAAGGGGAAACGGUGAGCACGUGAGGGGCAGGAUGAUGGCAUGUCAACCUCAAUGCCUCAGCUGACAUGGAGAAUGAAUUUAGGUAACAGUGGUCCUGCCUGUGAAUGCUCUUCAAGAAGUCUCAUCCAGGCAUAUGGUGGGGGAAGCUGUUAGAGCCAGCCUGCCAGGAAGAGUAGAGUGCUGGAGAAGUUUGCAUAUUGACAGCUGCUGUCAGAGGAGAGAAGGGACCCAAGUGACUUGCACUGAGCGAGGAAAACGUAGAGGAAGAUGACAAGUGAGAGAAGCAAGGCAUGACAGUACAGAAGUGCAGGGCUUAGUCCUGAUGGUGAUAGCAUCUGGCAUCCUGCAGAUGGGCUUGCUUUCCUCCUUAUACCACAUCUCCUUCUAUAUUCCUCCUUCCACCACCUCAGCUACUCGGUUUUUGUUAGGCAGCAUCUUUGGGCUGGGAAGGAAAAUUAAAUCUCAGUGAAUGACCUCUCAUAAGGAGUAUGUUCCUGCUGAAGGUCAGUGGCUGUACUACAUGUCUGUAUGGAUAACAUGCUGCAUCUCACCAGGAAUAACCCAUCUCUGAGGGUGGCUCUCACUCUCUUCACGUAGUGCUUCAGUUCACAUCUUCACAGAUCGCUUUAGUUUGAUUCUGCAGUUGCAGAGAUCUUCUGUGCUCUGAAACCAAUCUUUUGUUCUCAUGUUGGCCUAAGCUGCGCAGAAGACUAAUGACAGCUCUGCCAGUGUCACUGCCACUGCCUGCCUCCUCUCUGCUCCCUCAGCCCUAUCCAUUCUCUCCAAGAUUAGUUCAGCUUUCAAAUUAAAUGGAAAAAACUUACAGCCUUAAAGGAGAUUGUACAUAUAAUUUAAUGGAAGAGAAAAAUCCAUAAAUCUGCAUUACAGGGCUGCUCAUUACAUUUAAUAGGCUGAUUUUACUGUUACCUCCUUCCCUGAGCAAUGAUUUCUCCAGUUUAUCUCUGUCUUCAAGUUAUAUCUUAUAAAUCCAGUUCAAAAUUUAAGUUCCUUGCAGUAGUUUCUGACCCACCUUAACAUAUGGAUAUGGCGUUCAUCGUGAUAGGGCUCAAGACUUAAAUUGUUUCCUCGUUAGUAAUUAAUCAUCCAGCAAUUGCUUCAACAUCUUAGCUCCUUGACUGCACAAUGCUAUCCUCGCUACAGAAUUGUAUAGCAAAGUUAUAACUACUAAUUAAAUUAUAUAGUGCUCUUCCAAAAGGGAUUUUUCAAGUACAGAAUAAUCACUGCGGGAAAAAUUUCAGACAGAAAUAUAACACACAUCAAAUCAGUGGAAAAAGUAGCAAAGCAUUCUCUAGAGCUCAAGUUCCAAAAUAUUUUUGCCUAUGGAAGUGUCUAUGAAUAAAUCUAUUUAGGUAAUUGGUUUCA